GGGCGUGCGGCGGCUACCUGCAGUCGACGGUAGCCCAGAGAGCUUGCUCUCGGGUGACGAGUGGCGGACGGGUGAGUAAUGUCUGGGAAACUGCCUGAUGGAGGGGGAUAACUACUGGAAACGGUAGCUAAUACCGCAUAACGUCGCAAGACCAAAGAGGGGGACCUUCGGGCCUCUUGCCAUCAGAUGUGCCCAGAUGGGAUUAGCUAGUAGGUGGGGUAACGGCUCACCUAGGCGACGAUCCCUAGCUGGUCUGAGAGGAUGACCAGCCACACUGGAACUGAGACACGGUCCAGACUCCUACGGGAGGCAGCAGUGGGGAAUAUUGCACAAUGGGCGCAAGCCUGAUGCAGCCAUGCCGCGUGUAUGAAGAAGGCCUUCGGGUUGUAAAGUACUUUCAGCGGGGAGGAAGGUGUUGUGGUUAAUAACCGCAGCAAUUGACGUUACCCGCAGAAGAAGCACCGGCUAACUCCGUGCCAGCAGCCGCGGUAAUACGGAGGGUGCAAGCGUUAAUCGGAAUUACUGGGCGUAAAGCGCACGCAGGCGGUCUGUCAAGUCGGAUGUGAAAUCCCCGGGCUCAACCUGGGAACUGCAUUCGAA
rnacentral:rRNA from 1 species